UAAUGGCCUACCAAGGCGACGACGGGUAGCCGACCUGAGAGGGUGACCGGCCACACUGGGACUGAGACACGGCCCAGACUCCUACGGGAGGCAGCAGUGGGGAAUAUUGCACAAUGGGCGGAAGCCUGAUGCAGCGACGCCGCGUGAGGGAUGAAGGCCUUCGGGUUGUAAACCUCUUUCAGCAGGGACGAAGCGCAAGUGACGGUACCUGCAGAAGAAGCACCGGCUAACUACGUGCCAGCAGCCGCGGUAAUACGUAGGGUGCGAGCGUUGUCCGGAAUUACUGGGCGUAAAGAGUUCGUAGGCGGUUUGUCGCGUCGUUUGUGAAAACCCGGGGCUCAACUUCGGGCUUGCAGGCGAUUCGGGCAGACUUGAGUGUUUCAGGGGAGACUGGAAUUCCUGGUGUAGCGGUGAAAUGCGCAGAUAUCAGGAGGAACACCGGUGGCGAAGGCGGGUCUCUGGGAAACAACUGACGCUGCGGAACGAAAGCGUGGGUAGCAAACAGGAUUAGAUACCCUGGUAGUCCACGCCGUAAACGGUGGGCGCUAGGUGUGGGUUCCUUCCACGGAAUCUGUGCCGUAGCUAACGCAUUAAGCG
rnacentral:rRNA from 1 species